UACAGAGGGGGCAAGCGUUGUUCGGAAUUACUGGGCGUAAAGGGCGCGUAGGCGGCCCGCUAAGUCGAAAGUGAAAUCCCCGAGCUCAACUCGGGAACUGCGUCCGAUACUGGCGGGCUUGAAUCCGGGAGAGGGAUGCGGAAUUCCAGGUGUAGCGGUGAAAUGCGUAGAUAUCUGGAGGAACACCGGUGGCGAAGGCGGCAUCCUGGACCGGCAUUGACGCUGAGGCGCGAAAGCUAGGGGAGCAAACGGG
rnacentral:rRNA from 1 species